AUUGAACGCUGGCGGCAUGCUUUACACAUGCCAGUCGAACGGUAAACGCACUUCGGUGGCUGCCGGGUGGCGAACGGUUGUGUAUUACUUCGGAACGGGCCUGGAAGUGGGGGGUAACUACUCGAAAGAGUGGCUAAUACCGCAUGAGACCUAAGGUUGAAAGCCGGGAACCUUCGGCCUUUCCGCUACUAGGGGGGCUAAUGGCAGAUUGGGUAGUUGGUGGGAUAAAAGCUUACCAAGCCGACGAUCUGAAGCUGGUCUGAGGGGACGACCCGCCACACUGGGAGUGAGACACGGCCCAGACUCCGACGGGAGGCAGCAGUGGGGAAUUUUGGACAAUGGGCGCAAGCCUGAUCCAGCAAUGCCGCGUGCAGGAUGAAGGCCUGCGGGUGGUAAACUGCUUUUGUACGGAACGAAAAGCCCUCUUCUAAUACAGGAGGGUCAUGACGGUACCGUAAGAAUAAGCACCGGCUAACUACGUG
rnacentral:rRNA from 1 species